GUCCACUACCAUACUGUCUUCACUGCGGAGGUAACGUUUCCAACUUUCUACAGCUUUCUGGCUGUCCCUGUUUGAAAGAAAAUUGUAUUAAUUAUAGGCAACAAAUUAAAUGGGACUGGAAGUAUAGAUAGAUACCAAUGACGGUCUACUCACGUGAACAUCUCAGGAAUAUCCGUGUGUAUUGGCUGUGGCUUCACCGUCACCCUGUUCACAUCCUCGUGCAGUCCUUCCAGCAAGUAUCUGAGAAACUCUUGAGCGUCUUGUUGGCUGUAUCCCAUGAAACGUGGCGCGAAUCUCUGGAUCUGAGACUUGAGCGCCGUCGUGUUCACCACGUGGUCACCGCCCACCUCCCACAACUCGUGGAUCACCUGGCUGAACGCUUUGAUGAGGGCGCCCUUCAUGCUGGACGUAGUGGUAUUUAUGUCCGCCAUGUGCUGCUCGUUCAGUAAGUAUUCCAGCAGCGGUCUCGUAUUGCUCAGGCAUUGGAUCACGCUGUUCAUAAAACACUGUAACAACAAAUGACUAUAAACAAGUGUUUUACACUCUACUUGGCUAUCUUUUCUCGCCAAACUAAGCGACGAUACCGUAGGUAUCAUUAGGUAGAAUAGAUUCUAAAUUCAAAUGGGAAUUUUACAUAUUUCAGUGACUCCAAUGAAUCGAAGGAAAUCCUGCGAGCCUUCUAAAUCCUUUUCUACGAGUCUUAACCGCUUAAGGCUGAAGUACAUAUAUAUGUAAACAGGAAACAUACAAAUGAGGGGAAAGUUUAUAAGAAAAAUGCGAGGAACCUGAAUGUGAGAAAGUGACGAGGGGGCAAGUCGCAAUUUGUAGCCAGCUUCUUGCAAUCUCUACAGUACCGUUUCCUAGUAUAUCCGAUAACUAGAUACUCUACAGGGAUUGAAAACUGUCGAAUACCGUCGCGUUCUCUGUUCUAAAGCACGACAAAAACGUUACUUCUUCAGUGGUGGCGGUCUUAUAGCUUGCGGUACGAACAGCAUCACACACCACGGAUGUAAUGGUACACACAUGGGGAAACACCACGAUUUCGAUAUAACGGGGGGGAUAUAUAAUGAUACAUAGACGGGUCGGUUAGUCAUAAGAUUAUACGACACUGGGUAUUAGUUGUAACGUCGAUGGUAAAGAAAAAGAAAUUCCACACAGUACGUACACUUGUCGUUGCGUUCGACCUCUGCGUAUGGAUCGUUCCGAACAGAAAGUACGCCCAACGUAAUAUAUUGAGAAAAGGGAAGACAGUGUAAAUAUCAAAGGCAUCGAGCAGUCGAGAAAAGGAAGCUGUGUUUAACGUCAACGUCAUUGCUUGUGUACGAUGGGACGCGCGUAUCUCUCUUUUCUUAAUUCUUACUUCAUUCUCCUAAAUCACUCACCUUCACGCAACUGGCCGGAGGCUGUAGAGUUACGCGCGCGGAUACGACCGAUUCACUGAACCGAACGGAAUAAACAGUGGAGCAAAUGCGUUUCGGAGACGUCAGAGGUGCCGCGACGCCCAGCAAGAACGCGUACGCGAAUAGAAGAACUAUCACUAUCCACACGCACCACAACCCCCAGCAUAUCACUUGAGUAUAAGCCAGUUUACACGGAUGGAACUUUCGACAAACACACUCGGUGUCCUCGUUAAAUUCUCCUCGACGUAUCAGGGUUUUUGUCUGGAAACGAGGAUGCGGACCCCAUGCGAGCGAAGGAAAGUUUGAAGAGGCCAAGAGUAACCCCUUCUGUGUAUUCGAAGAUGUUCCACUCGGAUGUUCUUCCCCCACCUCUUGGUCCAGCAGCGUGCUAAACUGGCACUCUACUCGUCUCGCUACGGUCGACAGGAGAUGCUCAAUCAAUCCACGGAGGUACGCGCGAUGGAAGAGAUCGUGGAUCCACCGACGCGGAAAUGGUGUCGUCUACCCACACGCCAGCAGCGUUUUACCUAUGCUGGUGAUAACGAGGAUAGUAUAUGCAUAGAGUGCGUAGUAACGCGCUGUCACGAGGUACCGUUAGGUUAUAAGAGAUCCGUUGACCGCGCUUCUCUCUUUCCCCUGCUCGGACAGCUCUGAUCUAUUAAUAAAAGGCAACGCUGCGACUGAACCGAUCGUGCAGUUUCGUUUCGUAACACGCGACAAACGUAACUCUGCUAAUCUAACGUCUUUCUCACCUAUUCUACUCUAUCCAGCCAUUGGUUACGAGUCAUUGAACCUUUCAGAGAUGGUAACAACCAAUGUCCCUAUGUAAUAAGCAUGUACGGUCAGGUGCAACUUAGGGUUCUCUUAGUUGGAAGAAGGUAUCCUAAUGCUUGGAAGAUGGGAUCUACGCUUACUCUAAACCAAGAGAAUCCUGAGUGGACACAGAAGACAACUGCAGCGCCACCGAAUGACUUAUUAAUAACAGAACGUGUCCCAAGAGCGAAAGAAAAAAUGCAAUAUAUUUUAAGCGCCAAAGACGUUGGGCUGUCUAUGAAAUAUUUUUCUGAAAUACAAUUUUAAGGAUGAUAUCCGAAGAUGACUGCGACAACGUUGGAACACUGAUCUAACGAAAUUCGAUCCACCUACAUGCCUGCAGUACUGUGCGGUUUAUACUUUCCCGUCUAUCUAGCUUGGGUGAGUGGAAUUCGUGCUACCGUAUUAAGAGAGAA